GGGUGCUCGAGUGGCGAACGGGUGAGUAACACGUGAGUAACCUGCCCUUGACUUUGGGAUAACUUCAGGAAACUGGGGCUAAUACCGGAUAGGAGCUCCUGCUGCAUGGUGGGGGUUGGAAAGUUUCGGCGGUUGGGGAUGGACUCGCGGCUUAUCAGCUUGUUGGUGGGGUAGUGGCUUACCAAGGCUUUGACGGGUAGCCGGCCUGAGAGGGUGACCGGCCACAUUGGGACUGAGAUACGGCCCAAG
rnacentral:rRNA from 1 species